CAGUCGANGGUAACAGAUCUAGCUUGCUAGAUGCUGACGAGUGGCGAACGGGUGAGUAACGCGUAUGCAAUCUACCUUUAACUGAGGGAUAGCCCAGAGAAAUUUGGAUUAAUACCUCAUAAUAUUAUUUUUCGGCAUCGAUUUAUAAUUAAAACUCCGGUGGUUAAAGAUGAGCAUGCGUCCUAUUAGCUAGUUGGUAAGGUAACGGCUUACCAAAGCUACGAUAGGUAGGGGGCCUGAGAGGGUGAUCCCCCACACUGGUACUGAGACACGGACCAGACUCCUACGGGAGGCAGCAGUGAGGAAUAUUGCACAAUGGAGGAAACUCUGAUGCAGCCAUGCCGCGUGCAGGAAGAAUGCCCUAUGGGUUGUAAACUGCUUUUAUGCAAGAAGAAAUGCCAGUACGUGUACUGGUUUGACGGUACUGCAAGAAUAAGCACCGGCUAACUCCGUGCCAGCAGCCGCGGUAAUACGGAGGGUGCAAGCGUUAUCCGGAUUUAUUGGGUUUAAAGGGUCCGUAGGCGGAAUAUUAAGUCAGUGGUGAAAGCCUACAGCUUAACUGUAGAACUGCCAUUGAUACUGGUAUUCUUGAGUAUGGUUGUAGUGGGCGGAAUAUGUCAUGUAGCGGUGAAAUGCAUAGAUAUGACAUGGAACACCGAUUGC
rnacentral:rRNA from 1 species